UGGGGAAUAUUGCACAAUGGGCGAAAGCCUGAUGCAGCGACGCCGCGUGAGGGAUGACGGCCUUCGGGUUGUAAACCUCUUUCAGCAGGGAAGAAGCGAAAGUGACGGUACCUGCAGAAGAAGCGCCGGCUAACUACGUGCCAGCAGCCGCGGUAAUACGUAGGGCGCAAGCGUUGUCCGGAAUUAUUGGGCGUAAAGAGCUCGUAGGCGGUUAGUCGCGUCUGCUGUGAAAAUCUCGAGGCUCAACCCUCGGGCUUGCAGUGGGUACGGGCUGACUAGAGUGCGGUAGGGGGUGACUGGAAUUCCUGGUGUAGCGGUGGAAUGCGCAGAUAUCAGGAGGAACACCGAUGGCGAAGGCAGGUCACUGGGCCGCAACUGACGCUGAGGAGCGAAACGCAUGGGG
rnacentral:rRNA from 1 species